rnacentral:rRNA from 1 species
UACGUAGGGAGCAAGCGUUGUCCGGAAUCAUUGGGCGUAAAGCGCGCGUAGGCGGUUACUUAAGUCGAAUGUGAAAGCCCUCGGCUUAACCGAGGAAGUGCAUCCGAAACUGAGUAGCUAGAGUACGAAAGAGGGUCGCGGAAUUCCCGGUGUAGAGGUGAAAUUCGUAGAUAUCGGGAGGAACACCGGUGGCGAAGGCGGCGACCUGGGUCGAGACUGACGCUGAGGCGCGAAAGCGUGGGGAGCAAACAGG